UACGGAGGAUCCAAGCGUUAUCCGGAUUUAUUGGGUUUAAAGGGUGCGUAGGCGGAAGAUUAAGUCGGUGGUGAAAUUUUGCAGCUCAACUGUAAAAGUGCCAUUGAUACUGGUUUUCUUGAGUAUGGAUGAAGUAGGCGGAAUUUGUGGUGUAGCGGUGAAAUGCAUAGAUAUCACGAGGAACUCCAAUUGCGCAGGCAGCUUACUAAACCAUAACUGACGCUCAGGCACGAAGGCGUGGGGAUCAAACAGG
rnacentral:rRNA from 1 species